UACGUAGGGUGCAAGCGUUGUCCGGAAUUAUUGGGCGUAAAGAGCUCGUAGGCGGUUCGAUAAGUCGGACGUGAAAUCUCCACGCUCAACGUGGAGGGGCCGUUCGAUACUGUCGUGACUCGAGUCCGGUAGGGGAGUGUGGAAUUCCCGGUGUAGCGGUGAAAUGCGUAGAUAUUGGGAGGAACACCAGUGGCGAAGGCGGCUCACUGGACCGGAACUGACGCUGAGGCGCGAAAGCGUGGGGAGCAAACGGG
rnacentral:rRNA from 1 species